rnacentral:tRNA from 1 species
GCCCGGUUAGCUCAAUCGGUAGAGCGUGAGACUCUUACGAGUACACAACUCUGAAAUCAAACAUCUCAAGGCUGCGGGUUCGACCCCCGCAUUGGGCU